CCUGGUGCCUCGAGCGGCGGGGCCACACCCGUUCCCAUCCCGAACACGGCCGUUAAGCCCGUCAGCGCCGAUGAUACUCUAGUACAUGCUAGGGGGAAAGUAGGCCGGCGCCGGGG
rnacentral:rRNA from 1 species